GCUGAACAGUCCCAGCUCUCUCAGCCUCUCCUCAGAAAAGGUGCUGCAGUGCCUUCAUUAUCUAGGUGGCCCUCCCUUGGACUCUCUCCAACCCAGGUCCAAGUCUGCAAGAAGAGUGUGGAACUCUGGCUUACAGAUGUGAAUUGUGUGGCCUAAAUCUUGUGCAUGUCCUCUGGAAAGGAAACAAAUGAGAGAGCUCACCACUUUGACUACAGAUGCCAAUUACAUAAGAAGAUACGUACACUGGUUUGCUUCAGUAAUUUAUCUGGUUCCUGAAAGUGUUUCAGAUGCUAUUGCCACUACAGUUGCUGGAGUUCUGCCUUUUAAUUCAACAGCAGAAGGACUGGAGCUUUACAUACUAUUCAUACGUGAAUAUCUUCAGAUGUAGAUAUAUCACUCUUGGUGGAUAACUGGAUUUUCAAUCUUCAGACAUAAUUUUUAAGAACACAGUUUUUCAGGUUAGAUUUAGAACACACAUUCAGAGUUAAUAAGGGAAUAGCAAAGUAUUCCACGAAUAAAAAAGGGGUCUCAGGAAGCAAUUAUUAUAGCCAUGUAUUCACAUCCUCAUGUUUGUCUUAAAUUAGAUCAGUGGUUCCAAAUAUCCUGUGAACUGUAAUUCUGUCAAAUCAUCUGGCUAUAAGAUAAACUUGAUUAAGUUGGAAGAACUGAAGAUCUUUUAAGGUGUGUAAGGAGGCUUUUAUAUUCAAAUGUUGACAGAAAUAGGUCAAAUGCAUUGGCAUCUGGUUCACUGAGGAAAUUGAAAACAUAGUCAAAGUUAACUUAUCCCCAUUCAUUAUGCAGUUAGCAAGCAACUUAAAAGGUUGGCAAGCUCUACCUCUUUUCCUCUGGGGAAAAAUAAACAUAAAGUGAAUGCA